rnacentral:lncRNA from 1 species
CCGCCUUCUUUUUUGCCCCUCAGAAUUUAAACAUGGCAUUAAUUUGUUUAAAUUUCAACCUCACCUUUUUCCUUUUGUUUUCUCAUGCAACAAAGAUAAAUGGGGACCAUAUCAUCAGUCUUUCCCCUAGAAUCAUCAACUUGGCCGCUAAUCCCAACUUCCUUGUCAUCAGAAGCAUUCCAGAGGUAAGCAUUAAAUUGUGAAAAAGCUUAACUCUGAUGACAAGGAAGUUGGUGGAUGAGGUGAUACAGUAGAAUGUACUGCUACUUUGUAAAUUGUGAAAAAAGUUUAAUUUCUCUUACCUUUUUUACUUGAAGAAAUCCUUUCUCGAGGUUUUCAAGUUUUGAAUAUACAACCAACAGAAAUCUCAUGAAGGAGCAUUGUUAUGACAAGAAUGACUAUAUUACUGAUGUGUAUUUCGGGAUUUAUUAGUUGUUCAAACUUUUUAGUUACAGGUCAUUUUUAAGUGAUUUAGGGGUUUGAGAGUCGAUUUUUAAGUUUAUGUAUAGUAAGAAUUUGUUGCUUUUGAAUUUCAACUUAUAUUAUACGGGCAGACAUUUUAUUUUACCCACAUAGACCCCAUUCACUUGACCCACUAAUCAAGUUCCAUAGUAGAAACCUUGUUUAUAUGAUAUAGAAUAUGAUUAUAAAUUGAGAUUUUCACAGAAGAAUCUCAAACAAUCCAACAGGUUAGUGAAGGAAAGUAGCAAAAAAAAUUAGAAUUUUAACUCAAAACAGGCUGAAAUCCAAUCCUUUUAUUCUGGACGUCCUAAAACCAGUGUUGACCAUUGCAAACUUGGUUCUGCACCCACAGGAUGAUGCAACUGUUUUUCUUUAUCAUGAUGAUGCAAGUUGCAACCCCCAUUUUCCAUCCUAAUUCCAUCCUUCAAUUUGAACUCUACAACUUUUCUCUGGACCCAUUCUUCCUAACUUUUCUUCUUUUUUUC